rnacentral:tRNA from 1 species
GUGGUUAUGACUCAGUGGUAGAGCACUCCCCUAGCAUGGGUGAAGCACUGGGUUCCAUCCUCAGCACCACA